rnacentral:Y_RNA from 1 species
GGCAGGUCUGAUGGUAGUGGGUUAUCUAUCAGAACUUAUUAUUAAUAACAUUAUCAUCACUAAAGUUGGUAUACAACCCCCUACUGCUAAAUUUGACUGGCUUUUA